rnacentral:ncRNA from 1 species
UCAAAUGCAGUGAAGACGCACAGUAGCACCGGCAGAGCGCACAGAGAGCGGGAGAGAGCUGAGAUUUCCGCCGUGACACCGGAGGGCGAACCUUCGCGUCGGAGCAGCGGAGCCGAACGGGCGUGCCCCAGUAGGUUUCGACGUCUUUCCGCGUCAAGGAAACAAUGAGCGGUCCGCGGCACAAGCGGAUAAUGCGGGUGGUACCGCGGGUUAAAUAACUCGUCCCGGAU